UCUAUCAGUUCACACUCCACACCAAGAUCCCUCAUGAAGAGAUAAUUUUCAUUUUCUGGAUUUCAAAUAUCCCCACUCCUGGAUUCUAGAAUGGUGGAGAAUAUAGUGCUGGAAGCUUAUGUGUCUCCAACUAUGACCUAAUUUAAGAUGGAAGGAUCUAAUUGAUACACAUAUGCCAAAGUAGCCACUGUAUUUUUAAUACGUAUAAACAAAAUGCUUUUCUAAUGGGGGAAAAUACCAUGAAAGACAAAGCCAGACACUUCAUUUAACAGUGUCUAUUAACGGGGAGGGAAGGGGAAGCUGUAUAAAGGAAUAAGUGGCUCCUGGAGAGAAAAGUGCUUCCCUCUCUUCAUUUUAGGCCUCCAGUUAGUUCACUUUGUUUUUUCGCAAGCCAUACUUUACAAACUAAACAUUCUUUUGGAAAAUGAGUUUAAACACAUUGGCAGCCAAAGAAAGGAAGCAUAGAGGGAACUGUAAUUCAUUUGGAGGAUUUUUUUUUCCAUCUGCUUCCAUUUAUUUGAAGUAUCCAGAAUACGUAAAUCCACAGAGACAAAAAGCAGUUGGUGAUUGCCAGCAUCUUGAGCAGCGGGAGGAACAGGAGGGACUGCUUGUCAGAUUAAGAAAAAUAUUCCAAGAUUUACACCAAACCAUAAGAAAAAAGAAGAAAAUUGAGACUUAAUUUUAUAAAGAUUAAGAAAACAGGGAAAAAAUUGAAAAAAUGGGAAACAAAAGCAACUGCACAUGAAAGAUGGAGGGUUAACUGGUCACUUCAGAAAGAGGAUAACAACUCGUUGUCUAGAAAACUGGUAAAUAAAUGUAAAUAAUUCAGAAAUUUAUCCUUUUUUCUUCUAUAAAUGCUACUAUAGUAGAAAAAUUGGCAGUUGAGGGGAAACUUCUUUUUAUAGAACAUUCUGUUAAGUGGAAAGUGCAGACAUACUGAUAUAAUUAAAACAUAAGCAUUUGAUAGUACUAUAUGAAGUAACAAAUGUAGAUAUUAGCCACCAAUAUAAAAAUGAAAGUGCAUGCAUGGGUCAUAUAGUUAUAAAGAAACUGUAAGAUUGUGAAUAGAGGUUUCAUUGGGAGAGAGCAGAGAGGUUGUUCCUGGGAUGGGUCUCAUAGAAUGUCCAGCAAAAUUCCAGUUUUCAACCUGUGUACUUGGAUCAAUAUUAUAAGCAUAUU